rnacentral:rRNA from 1 species
UACAGAGGUCCCGAGCGUUGUUCGGAUUCACUGGGCGUAAAGGGUGCGUAGGUGGUGAGGUAAGUCGGAUGUGAAAGCUCCAAGCUCAACUUGGAAAUGGCAUUGGAAACUACCUUGCUAGAGGGUUUGAGGGGGGACUGGAAUGACUUGGUGUAGCAGUGAAAUGCGUAGAUAUCAAGUGGAACACCAGUGGCGAAGGCGAGUCCCUGGAAAACUCCUGACACUGAGGCACGAAAGCUAGGGGAGCAAACAGG